rnacentral:rRNA from 1 species
AAUGAACGUUGGCGGCGUGGAUUAGGCAUGCAAGUCGUACGAGAAUCGUAGCAAUACGAGGAAAGUGGUGGAAGGGAGAGGAUUACGUGGGAAUCUACCCUCAGAACUGGGAUAGCGGCGGGAAACUGCCGGUAAUACCAGAUAAUGUCUGUGGACCAAAGGUGUGAUUCCGUCUGGGGAUGAGCCCACGUCCUAUUAGCUAGUUGGCAGGGUAAUGGCCUACCAAGGCAAUGAUGGGUAGCGGGUGUGAGAGCAUGACCCGCCUCACUGGGACUGAGAACUGCCCAGACACCUACGGGUGGCUGCAGUCGAGAAUCUUCGGCAAUGAGCGCAAGCUUGACCGAGCGACGCCGCGUGCGGGAUGAAGGCCUUCGGGUUGUAAACCGCUGUCGUAGGGGAGCAAGAGAUGAGGGUACUCCCUCUGAUUUGAGCGAUCCUAGGAGGAAGGACGGGCUAAGUUCGUGCCAGCAGCCGCGGUAAUAC